rnacentral:rRNA from 1 species
UAAGGAAUAUUGGACAAUGGACGCAAGUCUGAUCCAGCCAUGCCGCGUGAAGGAUGAAUGCCCUCUGGGUUGUAAACUUCUUUUAUAGGGGAAGAAAGAUACUUUUUUUAAGGUAGUUGACGGUACCCUAUGAAUAAGCACCGGCUAACUCCGUGCCAGCAGCCGCGGUAAUACGGAGGGUGCAAGCGUUAUCCGGAUUUACUGGGUUUAAAGGGUGCGUAGGCGGGCAUGUAAGUCAGUGGUGAAAUACCGGAGCUUAACUUCGGAACUGCCAUUAUACUAUAUGUCUUGAAUAUUGUGGAGGUAAGCGGAAUAUGUCAUGUAGCGGUGAAAUGCAUAGAUAUGACAUAGAACACCGAUUGCGGAGGCAGCUUGCUACGCAAAUAUUGACGCUGAGGCACGAAAGCGUGGGGAUCAAACA